UGCAUGGUCCCCAAAAGCAGGAGGGGUUCUGGGUAAAGAAGAGGAAGUUCCCAACACAAUGGGGGCAAUGAGAAAGGCUCCAGGAGGAGGUGAAGUCUGGGCAGAAUCUCAGAUACUCAAGAGACCCAUUCUACAGGCCAUAAGUCCCUUUCCCAGUCCCAUCUGCCUUGACCCAGCGGGCGUGGGGCCAAGCUUACAGCUUCUCCAUCAUGACCUGAAUCUUUCUGGUGAGAGAUAACCCAUGGGGCUGAAACUGGGAGCUUUCUGAGGCAUCCCUUUGACUUCAGCCUAAGGAGGUAACACAUUCCAUCUCAUUUUGCAAGAAUAACAGAAACUUAGAAGUGGAAUGGGCAGGAAUCCAACCAGUUCCUUUACAGAUGAAGAAAAAGGAGGCUCCAGAGAGGACCCUGGCUGUGACGAUCCCUCCUGCCCUGGUCUCCUGACUCCCAGCCUGUGGUUCGGCCCUGACUGCUGCCUUCGCUCAUGGGGUCUCUUCUGGGUACUGAGGGGGCAGGGUGAGGGGAAGGGCAGACAAGAGAGCUGGCACAGCAUGA